rnacentral:rRNA from 1 species
UGGGGAAUAUUGCGCAAUGGGCGAAAGCCUGACGCAGCGACGCCGCGUGAGGGAUGAAGGUCCCGGAUCGUAAACCUCUGUCAGGGGGGAAGAACGGCCUGUGUGCGAAUAGUGCAUGGGAUUGACGGUACCCCCAAAGGAAGCACCGGCUAACUCCGUGCCAGCAGCCGCGGUAAUACGGAGGAUCCAAGCGUUAUCCGGAUUUAUUGGGUUUAAAGGGUGCGUAGGCGGUUAGAUAAGUUAGAGGUGAAAUAUUAGGGCUUAACCCUGAAACUGCCUCUAAUACUGUUUAACUAGAGAUUAGUUGCGGUAGGCGGAAUGUAUGGUGUAGCGGUGAAAUGCUUAGAUAUUAGGAGGAACACCAGUGGCGAAGGCGGCUUACUGGACGAUCACUGACGUUGAGGCUCGAAAGCGUGGGGAGCAAACA